rnacentral:rRNA from 1 species
UACGUAGGGUGCGAGCGUUAAUCGGAAUUAUUGGGCGUAAAGCGCACGUAGGCGGUCCGUUAAGUCGGAUGUGAAAGCCCCCGGCUCAACCGGGGAAGUGCAUCCGAAACUGGCAGGCUAGAGUACGAAAGAGGGUCGCGGAAUUCCCGGUGUAGAGGUGAAAUUCGUAGAUAUCGGGAGGAACACCGGUGGCGAAGGCGGCGACCUGGGUCGAUACUGACGCUGAGGUGCGAAAGCGUGGGGAGCAAACAGG